AUUGAACGCUGGCGGCAGGCCUAACACAUGCAAGUCGAACGAGUUGCGGACGGGCGAGUAAUUUCUGGAAAACUGCCUGAGGGAGGCGGAUAAGUACGGGAAACCGUAGAUAAUACCGCAUACGAUCAGUUGUGCCCAGAUGGGAUUAGCGAGUUGGUGGGGUAACGGCUCACCAGGGCGACGAUCCCUAGCUGGUCUGAGAGGAUGACCAGCCACACUGGGACUGAGACACGGCCCAGACUCCGACGGGAGGCAGCAGUGGGGAAUAUUGCACAAUGGGCGAAAGCCUGAUGCAGCCAUGCCGCGUGUAUGAAGAAGGGUUUCGGGUUGUAAAGUACUUUCGUCGGGGAGGCGUUACCCGCAGAAGAAGCAACGGCUAACUCCGUGCCAGCCGCCGCGGUAAUAC
rnacentral:rRNA from 1 species